rnacentral:rRNA from 1 species
GUCUUCGGCGUCCGCAUUGUAAUCUCAAGAAGUGUUUUCCGCUUCGGACCAUGCCUAAGUCCCUUGGAAAAGGGCAUCAAUAGAGGGUGAUAAUCCCGUACAUGGCAUGGAGCGCCCGAGGCUUUGUGAUACGCUUUCUAAGAGUCGAGUUGUUUGGGAAUGCAGCUCAAAAUGGGUGGUAAAUGCCAUCUAAGGCUAAAUAUUGGGGAGAGACCGAUAGCGAACAAGUUCAGUGAUGGAAAGAUGAAAAGAACUUUGAAAAGAGAGUUAAACAGUACGUGAAAUUGCCAAAAGGGAAGGGUAGGAGGUCAGAGAUGCGUCUUGGGAUUCAGCCUUGCUUUUGCUUGGUGUUUUUCCCAAGUUGCAGGCCAACGUCGGUUUUGGGCACUGGAGAAGGGUGGAAGGAACGUGGCACCUCUCGGGGUGUGUUAUAGCCUUCUACUGGAUACAGCGACCGAGACCGAGGACAGCAGCGUACUCGCAAGAGCGGGCCUUCGGGCACCUUUACGCUUAGGGCGUUGGCAUAAUGGCCC